rnacentral:rRNA from 1 species
AGCGAACGCUGGCGGCAGGCUUAACACAUGCAAGUCGAACGGGCGUAGCAAUACGUCAGUGGCAGACGGGUGAGUAACGCGUGGGAACGUACCUUUUGGUUCGGAACAACCCAGGGAAACUUGGGCUAAUACCGGAUAAGCCCUUACGGGGAAAGAUUUAUCGCCGAAAGAUCGGCCCGCGUCUGAUUAGCUAGUUGGUGAGGUAACGGCUCACCAAGGCGACGAUCAGUAGCUGGUCUGAGAGGAUGAUCAGCCACAUUGGGACUGAGACACGGCCCAAACUCCUACGGGAGGCAGCAGUGGGGAAUAUUGGACAAUGGGCGCAAGCCUGAUCCAGCCAUGCCGCGUGAGUGAUGAAGGCCCUAGGGUUGUAAAGCUCUUUUGUGCGGGAAGAUAAUGACGGUACCGCAAGAAUAAGCCCCGGCUAACUUCGUGCCAGCAGCCGCCGUAAC